GCGCCCGUAGCUCAGUGGACAGAGCGGGUGGCUUCGGACCAUCAGGUCGCGGGUUCAAAUCCUGCCGGGCGCGCCA
rnacentral:tRNA from 1 species